CAGUCGCCACGGGAACACGGAGGGUGCAAGCGUUAUCCGGAUUUAUUGGGUUUAAAGGGUCCGUAGGCGGAUCUGUAAGUCAGUGGUGAAAUCUCACAGCUUAACUGUGAAACUGCCAUUGAUACUGCAGGUCUUGAGUAAAUUUGAAGUGGCUGGAAUAAGUAGUGUAGCGGUGAAAUGCAUAGAUAUUACUUAGAACACCAAUUGCGAAGGCAGGUCACUAAGAUUUAACUGACGCUGAUGGACGAAAGCGUGGGGAGCGAACAGGAUUAGAUACCCCCGUAGUCCCUGUCUCUUAUAC
rnacentral:rRNA from 1 species